rnacentral:lncRNA from 1 species
UAUAUUUACAUAACCAUUGACUACAAGAAAUGAGCAAUGAAUAGUAUACAAUCCAUCAAUAGGAGCAGUAAAUAAUCCUUCUGUGACUGAGUAUCCAUUUCCAAAAUUAGUUGUUAUGUUGUCGAAUAUAAUUAUCUCGCCGUUUUGAGGAGCAUUUUCGGAAAGCGUUGCAAAGAAAGCUAUCGCUUGUUCCACGUCUAAUUCGAUGUUUGAAAUAUUUUGGAGCAUAUUUUUUACUCUAGAACUCAGUUGUGCUAACAUAAAUUGCAUUAACAUCACUUAAUAUUUCCUUGUAUCUUCGUAACACUCCCGUCUGUAUAUCAGUCGUAGUUUUGGAAACGUAAUCCCGCAUUUUACUUACAAAUUGAAUGAUAUCGUGUUCGGUCUCAUUCAUUAAUUUAGUUUGUCUAUUGUUAAUCAAAUGGUCACAUUCUGUCGUCACUUUGCUCUGAACUAAACUCAAAGAUGUGUUGAAACUUGUAUAUUGAAAUAGUGUAGGAGCUUUAUGAUGUAAGAGGACUUUAAUCUGAUUAUUGGUUUCGCUUACGUUUUUAAUCUUUCUUUCUAGCUUCAGAAAUAGUUCCUCGCUCAUCUUUUUAAUAAGUUCUUCCACUCUAUCCCUAAUAAUUUUCUGAAGUACCUUUAAGAAUUCUUUGCUACCAUUGUUUAUUUCUGGUACAUUUUCUGGUACAUCCCCACGUUCUCCGGAUGUUUAUAGAACAACAGAAAACAGACAAGAAGUACAAGAUAUUCACUCAAUUUCAUCCUUUAAAAUGUUCUACAAUAAGUUUAUUAUCAUACAUAAAAAUUAACGUACACGAUUCAAAGAUUUGGUUUGGAAGUUUGUCUUUACCUUUAUAACUUCACGUGCCGUAUACGGUGCAGGAAAUACCUACCCUUGUGGAGCACCUGAUUUCAGUCACGGUUUUUAGUGGAGUUCGUGUUGUUUCUUAUUUAAUUAUUUGUAACUGUUGAUGUAAAUGUCUUUUGGUUUGAUGAGUCUUUGUUUACUCAUUGAUUUUGAUUGUUAUUGUCUUCAUAAUGAAGCCUUUAAACUAGCUAAACAUUUAGAUAUUGAAGCAACAUACUCUUGGUAUACUUUUGCAAAAAAUAUGUAACAAGAAAUAAAUAUUGAAAUCAAACUUAUUGAAGAAACUAAAACUUGAAAACAGAAUGAAGCGUAAAAACCCUAAUUAAAAAAAGUUUAUAUCAACUAUUAUAAAACUCUUAUUCUACUUGUAAAAAAAUGGAUGGAUUCAUUAGAUCGGCACGAAGCACAAUUAAAAGAACCAACGUAGACGACAGACGCAAAGUACCUAUCUUAGAGUACGUGUAGCUACUCAAAAUGUGUUAAUUUAUUUUCCUUUCUUGGGCAGUGAUGUUCCUUUUGUAUCGAUGCGGUGUUUAUGUAUUCCAACUUGUUCGCUAUGCCCGUGUCUGUAUUGGCGCUUGGGAUUUCAAAUGUUUCAUUAUGUAUUACUGAUGAAGUACUAAGUCAGAGAUUUAGUUACUACAUAUUACAUAAAACCUUUCACUCUGUCGGAGAAAUAAAGAUUUUUUUUUGUUAAUUUGGCUGUAUCUCGAUUAUUUGAUUAUAUAUUUCUUCAUUAUUCAUAUAACACUUUUUGAUUAUAUAAAAUUGAGAAUGGAAAUGGGGAAUGUGCCAAAGAGACAACAACUCGACCAUAGAAAAAAACAACAGCAGAAGGUCACCAACAGGUCUUCAAUGUAGCGAGAAACUCCCGCACCCGGAGGCGUCCUUCAGCUGGCCCCUAAACAAAUAUAUACUAGUUCAGUGAUAAUGAACGCCAUACUAAUUUCCAAAUUGUACACAAGAAACUCAAAUUAAAAUAAUACAAGACUAACAAAGGCCAGAGGCUCCUGACUUGGGACAGGCGCAAAAAAUGCGGCGGGGUUAAACAUGUUUGUAUAGACUAUUUAAAACUAAUUCCAAUAAACUAAUAUGCAAACAACUUUAUUUUUAGAAUGGAAAUGUGUAUAUAGUGAGUAUGUACAUUCUCGACAUAGUCAUGGCGUACAAAUAUUGUUCAAGUCACACACAUAGUAUAGACAUCUUGCCAGAUUAAAAGUCAUAUAGGGUACCCAUACCUAAGCUUUUAUAAAAUGUAUCCAGAAAAAGUGGUGUAUAAAUCUCCGCGAAUUAUUCCUGUACUGUAAUCGGGAAGUUUACGGCAAUGUACUUCGUCGCCUUCCAUUAAAUCUGUUGUAACAAAUAUGGAACCAGUAUUCUCAUGUUUUCCUUCCGCUGCGUAGCCUCUUCCUAUUUUAUUGUAGUUCCUCAUGAGUUCUAUAUUUACAUAACCAUUGACUACAAGAAAUGAGCAAUGAAUAGUAUACAAUCCAUCAAUAGGAGCAGUAAACAAUCCUUCUGUGACGGAGUAUCCAUUUCCAGAGUUUGUUAUAAUGUUGUCGAAUUUAAUUAUCUCACCGCUCUGAGGAACAUUGUCGGAAAGUGUUGCAUAGAAAGCUAUCGUUUGUUCCACCUCUAAUUCGAGGUUGGAAAUAUUUUGGACAAUUGUGUUUACUCUAGAACUAAGGAUCUCACUUGUACUAACAGAAAUUGCAUCCACAUCACUCAAUAUAUCCUUGUAUCUUCGUAACACUCCCGUCUGUAUAUCAGUCGUAGUUUUGGAAACGUACGAACGCAUUUUACUUACAAAUUGAAUGAUCUCGUGUUCGGUCUCAUUUAUCAAUUUAGUUUUUCUGUUGAAGAUAUAAUUGUCACUUUUUCUCGCAACUUUGCUCUGAACAUCACUAAAAACUGCGUAGAAACUUGUAUAUUGAAACAUUAUUGGAGCUUGUUGAUGCAAGAUAUUUUUAAUCUGGUUGUUGGUUUCGCUUACGGUUUUAAUCUUUCUUUCUAGCUUCAGAAAUAGUUCCUCGCUCCUCUUUUCAAUAAGUUCUUCCACUCUCUCCCUAAUAAUUUUCUGAAGGACCUCUAAAAAUUCUUUGCUACUAUUGUUUAUUUCUGGUACAUUUCCAGGUACAUCCCCACGUCCUCCUCGUGUUUUAUAAAACAACAGAAAACAAAAAAGUACAAGAUAUUCACUCAAUUUCAUCCUUUAAUAUGUUCUAGCAUCAGAUGAUAUUCUAACACAUGAAAUGGACGUAGAUUAUUAUAUCAUUUCCUAUUUUAAGUACACACUUCUG